rnacentral:tRNA from 1 species
CUGGGUGUACCUCAAUGGCAGAGUUUGUGCUUAGCACGCAUGAGGCCUGGGUUCAAUCUCUAGCAUCCACA